GUGGGGAAUAUUGGACAAUGGGGGGAACCCUGAUCCAGCCAUGCCGCGUGUGUGAAGAAGGCCUUUUGGUUGUAAAGCACUUUAAGCGAGGAGGAGGCUACCGAGAUUAAUACUCUUGGAUAGUGGACGUUACUCGCAGAAUAAGCACCGGCUAACUCUGUGCCAGCAGCCGCGGUAAUACAGAGGGUGCAAGCGUUAAUCUGAUUUACUGGGCGUAAAGCGCGCGUAGGUGGCCAAUUAAGUCAAAUGUGAAAUCCCCGAGCUUAACUUGGGAAUUGCAUUCGAUACUGGUUGGCUAGAGUAUGGGAGAGGAUGGUAGAAUUCCAGGUGUAGCGGUGAAAUGCGUAGAGAUCUGGAGGAAUACCGAUGGCGAAGGCAGCCAUCUGGCCUAAUACUGACACUGAGGUGCGAAAGCAUGGGGAGCAAACAGGAUUAGAAACCCCAGUAGUCC
rnacentral:rRNA from 1 species